UUGGCAUGGGCGCAAGCCUGAUCAGCCUGCCGCGUGAGUGAUGAAGGCCCUAGGGUUGUAAAGCUCUUUUGUGCGGGAAGAUAAUGACGGUACCGCAAGAAUAAGCCCCGGCUAACUUCGUGCCAGCAGCCGCGGUAAUACGAAGGGGGCUAGCGUUGCUCGGAAUCACUGGGCGUAAAGGGUGCGUAGGCGGGUCUUUAAGUCAGGGGUGAAAUCCUGGAGCUCAACUCCAGAACUGCCUUUGAUACUGAAGAUCUUGAGUUCGGGAGAGGUGAGUGGAACUGCGAGUGUAGAGGUGAAAUUCGUAGAUAUUCGCAAGAACACCAGUGGCGAAGGCGGCUCACUGGCCCGAUACUGACGCUGAGGCACGAAAGCGUGGGGAGCAAACAGGAUUAGAUACCCUGGUAGUC
rnacentral:rRNA from 1 species